rnacentral:lncRNA from 1 species
UCGUCCAAAACAUAGUUUUGUAAUUGAAUUCGUCAUGAUUUACUGGAUGGUUGGGUAUGGAUUAUGAUCAUGCCCACUUUUGCCAAUUAUGCCAAAUUGCAGAGAAAACUAAUUGUAGUCCGCAUCCAGCUGCCAUGUGGACAUGUGUUGUCAAGGCUGCAUAUGGGUGGAACGCACAUUUCGCUCUGCAAUUAUGAGUGAAAAUGGGCUUCCAUAAAGUUGGUGCAAACUUCCAAUACAUUUCAACAAUAUUGCCAGGAGUGGAUUACAUUCGACACGGUCACUUCUGCUGCCUGUCUACCGUCGAACCACUGCACUGGUGUUGGCUACGUACAAGACCUGGUUGA